GACGUAGGGCGCGAGCGUUGUCCGGAUUUAUUGGGCGUAAAGAGCUCGUAGGUGGUUCGGUAAGUCGGGUGUUAAACCCCCAGGCUCAACCUGGGGACGCCACUCGAUACUGCUGUGACUUGAGUCCGGUAGGGGAGCGUGGAAUUCCUGGUGUAGCGGUGAAAUGCGCAGAUAUCAGGAGGAACACCAGCGGCGAAGGCGGCGCUCUGGGCCGGUACUGACACUGAGGAGCGAAAGCGUGGGGAGCAAACAGG
rnacentral:rRNA from 1 species